rnacentral:rRNA from 1 species
AGGUCAAGCUAGGAAGGGCGCAUGGUGGAUGCCUUGGCGCCGGGAGCCGAUGAAGGGCGUGGCAAGCGGCGAUACGCCUCGGGUAGCCGCAAGCAGGCGUUGAUCCGGGGAUGCCCGAAUGGGGAAACCCGCCAGGGGUAAUGCUCUGGCAUCUCUGCCUGAACACAUAGGGUAGGGAGGGGAACCGCGGGAACUGAAACAUCUUAGUACCGCGAGGAGAAGAAAGAAGUAUCGAUUCCCCAAGUAGCGGCGAGCGAAAGGGGAGGAGCCCAAACCCGCAGCAUGUAAGCCUGCAGGCGUUGUGUUGCGGGGGUUGCAGGAGCCACCGUCGGAUAUCUGCAGGUAUUCGGAUGGCAGGCGUAUCUCUAGCCGAAGAGGUCUGGAACGUCCCACCGUAGAUGGUGAUAGUCCAGUAGGCGAAAGGGAGAGGCCGCCAUGGGUGGCCACCUGAGUACCACGGGGCACGAGGAACCCCGUGGGAAGCUGGGAGGACCACCUUCCAAGGCUAAAUACUACCCGGCGACCGAUAGUGAACUAGUACCGUGAGGGAAAGGUGAAAAGAACCCCGGGAGGGGAGUGAAAUAGAACCUGAAACCAUGUGCCUACAAACAGUGGGAGGACGUUCGGGCCUGCUUAGCGGGCAACGAGUCUGACCGCGUACUUUUUGUAGAACGGACCGGCGAGUUACAGUGUGUGGCGAGGUUAAGCGGUAAAACGCGGAGCCGUAGCGAAAGCGAGUCUUAAACGGGCGCGAUAGUCGCACGCUGUAGACCCGAAACCGGGUGAUCUAUCCAUGGCCAGGGUGAAGCGGGGUUAACCCCCCGUGGAGGCCCGAACCACGUUGUCGUUGAAAAGGCAUGGGAUGAGCUGUGGAUAGGGGUGAAAUGCCAAUCGAACCCGGAGAUAGCUGGUUCUCCCCGAAAUAGCUUUAGGGCUAGCCUCGGGAGAUGACUUAUGGAGGUAGAGCACUGAUCGGGCUAGGGGGCCUGAAAGCUUACCGAACCCUUUCAAACUCCGAAUGCCAUAAGUUUAUCCCGGGAGUCAGACUGUGGGCUCUAAGGUUCAUAGUCGAGAGGGGAAAAGCCCAGACCCAAGGCUAAGGUCCCACAGUAUGGGCUAAGUGGGAAAGGAUGUGGGGUCGCUAAGACAGCCAGGAUGUUGGCUUAGAAGCAGCCAUUCAUUUAAAGAGUGCGUAAUAGCUCACUGGUCAAGUGGUCCUGCGCCGAAAAUGUAUCGGGGCUGAAGCCCAUCACCGAAGCCUGGGAAGCAGCUUUAUAGCUGCUUGGUAGGGGAGCGUUCCCUGGCGAGCGAAGUAGGACCGUAAGGACCUAUGGACGGCAGGGAAGAGAGAAUGCCGGUAUGAGUAGCGACAAGGCAGGUGAGAAUCCUGCCCGCCGAAAGCCUAAGGUUUCCUGAGGAAGGGUCGUCCUCUCAGGGUAAGUCGGGGCCUAAGCCGAGGCCGAUAGGCGUAGGCGAUGGACAAUCGGUUGAUAUUCCGAUACCACCCUGGAACCGACCAUGGGGACUCCAUGCGGACUCUGGUAGCUUCGGUUACCGGGGCGAGUGUGGGGGACUCAAGCGAUGGGGUGACGCAGGAGGGUAGGCCAUCAGGCGACUGGAAGUGCCUGUCCAAGGGUGUAGGAGGUAGUCCAGGCAAAUCCGGGCUACGGUAACUCCGAGGCCUGAUGGGGACGCGAAAUUUAGUAGCGGAACUGGCUGAACCCAGGCUGCCAAGAAAAGCCUCUAGCGAGGGUCCGGGGUGCCCGUACCGCAAACCGACACAGGUAGGCGAGGAGAGAAUCCUAAGGCGCGCGAGAGAACCCUCGUUAAGGAACUCGGCAAACUGACCUCGUAACUUCGGGAGAAGAGGUGCCCCGUGUAGCGUGGCAUGGAUUUACUUUAUGUUGCGCGAGGGGGCCGCAGAGAAAUGGCCCAAGCGACUGUUUAUCAAAAACACAGGUCUCUGCUAAGUCGAAAGACGAAGUAUAGGGGCUGACGCCUGCCCAGUGCCGGAAGGUUAAGGGGAGGGCUCAGGGGGGGACCCCGAAGGUCUGAACCAAAGCCCCGGUGAACGGCGGCCGUAACUAUAACGGUCCUAAGGUAGCGAAAUUCCUUGUCGGGUAAGUUCCGACCCGCACGAAUGGCGUAACGACUUGGGCGCUGUCUUGACGGGGGGCUCGGCGAAACUGUAAAUACCUGUGAAGAUGCAGGUUACCCGCGACUAGACGGAAAGACCCCGUGGAGCUUUACUGUAGCCUGAGAUUGGAUUCUGGCAUGUUAUGUACAGGAUAGGUGGGAGGCAGGGAAAGAGGGACGCUAGUUCCUCCGGAGCCGACCUUGGGAUACCACCCUUAAUGUGCUGGAGUUCUAACCCCUGCCUGUGAGCCAGGGGGGGGACAUUCUCAGGUGGGCAGUUUGACUGGGGCGGUCGCCUCCUAAAAGGUAACGGAGGCGCCCAAAGGUUCCCUCAGCGCGGUUAGAAAUCGCGCGUUGAGUGUAAAGGCAUAAGGGAGCUUGACUGCGAGAGGAACAUCUCGAGCAGGGUGGAAACACGGGCUUAGUGAUCAGGUGGUACCGAGUGGAAGGGCCAUCGCUUAACGGAUAAAAGCUACCCCGGGGAUAACAGGCUGAUCUCCCCCAAGAGUCCACAUCGACGGGGAGGUUUGGCACCUCGAUGUCGGCUCGUCGCAUCCUGGGGCUGGAGCAGGUCCCAAGGGUUGGGCUGUUCGCCCAUUAAAGCGGUACGUGAGCUGGGUUCAGAACGUCGUGAGACAGUUCGGUCCCUAUCUGUCGCGGGCGCAGGAGAUUUGAGGGGGUCUAUCCCUAGUACGAGAGGACCGGGAUGGAUGCACCGAGGGUGUACCAGUUGUUCCGCCAGGGGCAUAGCUGGGAAGCCAAGUGCAGCAGGGAUAAGCGCUGAAAGCAUCUAAGCGCCAAGCCCGCCCCAAGAUUAGAUCUCCCACGGCGCAAAGCCGGUAAGACCCCAGAGAGAUGAUCUGGUUGAUAGGCCGGUGGUGUAAGGGCAGCAAUGCCUUGAGCUUACCGGUACUAAUCGGUCGAGGGCUUGACCUAG